rnacentral:rRNA from 1 species
CAGUGCGAUCAUAUCUGCGUUAAUGCAUCGUAUCCCAUAAUAACUCCAUAGUUAAGCGGGCUUGGGCUAGAGUAGUACAGGGAUGGGUGACCUCCUGGGAAGUCUUAGUGUUGCACCCU